UACGUAGGGUGCAAGCGUUAAUCGGAAUUACUGGGCGUAAAGCGUGCGCAGGCGGUUCGUUAAGUCAGAUGUGAAAGCCCCGGGCUCAACCUGGGAACUGCAUUUGAAACUGGCGGGCUUGAGUGUGGCAGAGGGGGGUGGAAUUCCGCGUGUAGCAGUGAAAUGCGUAGAGAUGCGGAGGAACACCGAUGGCGAAGGCAGCCCCCUGGGCCAACACUGACGCUCAGGCACGAAAGCGUGGGGAGCGAACGGG
rnacentral:rRNA from 1 species